CAGUCGCCGCGGUAAUACGGAGGGGGCUAGCGUUGUUCGGAAUUACUGGGCGUAAAGCGCACGUAGGCGGCUUUGUAAGUUAGAGGUGAAAGCCUGGAGCUCAACUCCAGAAUUGCCUUUAAGACUGCAUCGCUUGAAUCGCGGAGAGGUGAGUGGAAUUCCGAGUGUAGAGGUGAAAUUCGUAGAUAUUCGGAAGAACACCAGUGGCGAAGGCGGCUCACUGGACGACUGUUGACGCUGAGGUGCGAAAGCGUGGGGAGCAAACAGGAUUAGAUACCCCCGUAGUCCCUGUCUCUUAUAA
rnacentral:rRNA from 1 species